rnacentral:rRNA from 1 species
GACGUAGGGCGCGAGCGUUGUCCGGAUUUAUUGGGCGUAAAGAGCUCGUAGGCGGCUUGUCGCGUCGUCUGUGAAAUCCCGCGGCUCAACCGCGGGUCUGCAGUCGAUACGGGCAGGCUAGAGUUCGGUAGGGGAGACUGGAAUUCCUGGUGUAGCGGUGAAAUGCGCAGAUAUCAGGAGGAACACCGGUGGCGAAGGCGGUUCUCUGGGCCUGUACUGACGCUGAGGAACGAAAGCGUGGGGAGCGAACAGG